rnacentral:lncRNA from 1 species
GUAAAAGGUUCACAUCCAUGUUAAUCAUCAAAUUAAAAACUUAUCAAAUAAGGGUAUGAAAACAUCUACGGCCCAAAACAAGGCUGCCCAAUUUUUUUUUACCAAAGGAAAACAACUUAAGCAGCGAAACAACAUAAUAUAACAUGUUCAGAAUAUUAUGAAAAUAAUAUAGAAACACAUGCUCAAAUGCCACAUCCUAUCAGAGCGUUGUGUCCCAGCAUCCUCUAGCACGAGGUUCUUCAAAGUCAUCCACCUAACCAUCUGCUCCCUCGAACACAAGGUUUGAGAUCAUCACAGGAUCCAAACACAAACAACACACAGAGAGUGAGCUAUCACAUUCCUAAAUAGGUAGAGAUAAACAAAAGCACACACACACAGAUAUGAAAUAUAAGUAUAACAAUCUCAAUUUAGCAUAAUUUGCAUCAUUUUACCACUCAUUGCAUAACAUCACUUGUCCUAAGGAUUUAAUCACAAAAUCACAUUCCACACCUUCACAUUAAUCAUGUGUUCAGAACAACACAUCUCAAGUAUGACACAAUAUCUCACACUCACACAAUUCAUUACCCACCAAGGCCUAAACUCUGAAGAGUCCGUUAGGGCCUCUCCCUCAUGAUUCAGGUCCAACCUAGAAAACAUUUUACAUGCAGACUCUAUCUAUGAACUAUACAAAACACAUGAAUCCUCAAUUGUUAUCAAAAUAAUUUUAAUUUGUCGUGCCUCAAAGUGAUUUAACUCACCGGGUUCCCACAGUGGAUCCCAUCAUAAUACUCAUCGCACAUUAACUCGUCGCCCUUAAAGGGUCCUACAGUAGUGUGAUUGUACAAUUCAUAGCUCACAAGUCAAUGCACACAACAUCUCAAUACACGUGUGAUCUCCCAAUUUAACACAUACUCAACUUGUCACUUACACACAGUUCAUCACACUUUCAUAAUCCCAAGACAUCAUGUUAUCACGCCUCAUGCAUCAUAUACAUGUCACAUAGUAAUAAUAUUAAUAUGUUACGUUCAUAUAAUUAUUCAUCUCAUUAAAACAAGCAUUUAAAAUCAUAUAUGUGUCGCUAGAGUUUGAACUAUGCAAUACACAAAUACUCAAUUGUUUUCAAAAUCUUUUUAACUCGUCAUGCCUCAAAGUGAUUAGACUCGUCGGGUUCCCACAGUGGAGCCCAUCGUAAAACUCGUCGUGCAUUAACUCAUUGCCCUUAAAGGGUCUUACAGUUGUGUGAUUGUAUAGUUUAUAGCUCACAACUCAAUGCGUAUAAAAUCUCAAUACACAUGUAUCUUACAAUUUAACACACUCAAUUUAUCAUGCACACUCAAUCUCAAUUACAAUGUUAUAAUCCCAAAGCAACAUGUUAUCACACCUCAUGAAUCAUAUGCACAUCACAUAGUAUUAAUAUUUACAUGGCACAAAACAUGUAUAUAUUAAGUCAAACUAUAUUAUUUUCAAUUAAAAAGAGUUAAUAAAUAAUUAAACUAAAAUGCAUUAAAAAUAUCUAUUGUUAAAUCUUAAUAUAUUAAUUUCCUUCAAUUUAAUUUUAUUAUUUUAACUAUUAAUUCCUAAUUUAUUUUAACAAUUCAUAUACAUAUAUAUGUGUUAUAAUCAUCACGUAAUAAACUUAUGAGACCAAAACAUGACAAAGAACGUUUCCAACAAUCUAGUUCUCAUGCUAAUCUAGUAAAUUUUGUCCAAAACACGAAUGAAUUAUACAUAAAUGUUUCUCACAACAUGGGGAAUUAAACCCCUCAAACAAUUUCACACAACCAUAUCAAAAUCAAAUGAAUCAAAAUCAUGUGUUCAAAAACACAAAAACAUCAAGAACACUCUAUUUUAUUAACCAAUUCGCAUAAAGGCAUCAAUUGGCCCGUCAAACAUAACAAUUUCGUGAUUAUAAUCAUAAAGGCAGAAUUAUAAUACAGUAAAUAUCUCAAAAUAAAUCCCAAUUUGAUCUUCUAAGGACCCCUACACAUGUUCAUUCUAAAUCCCAAUUGCAAUAAACUUAUUUCUUACCUCUAAGCGGGUUCACGUGUGUAGUCCAGAAGCGUUAACGGUAUCUCUAGUGGUUCCCUGAGAUUCCUCAAGCUUUUCCUCUAGUUGCUCUGCUAGGAUUUCCAAGCGUUAGAGAGAGGGAGAAGGGACUGGAGCUUCAAUUUCACUAUCUCCGUGCGAGUGGAAUUUCUUUCUCUAUAGACAUUAUUUCACAAAUCCCAAGGGUGGGAAUGUGUGAAUAUGAGUUACGAUGGUGGUAUCCCAAUUUUAGGACAAUCCAAUGAUUAACGAGUCUGGGAUCAUAGUUUUACUAGAACAGAUUUGAGAGUACGUGGGGGAAAAGAUAGGGUUUUGGGAGAGGAAGAAGGGAAAAUGAAUUUGGGAGGAGGAGAUAGUGUAGAAAUAUAUCAUAAAUGUAAAAAUUGACCUAAUAUGUCUCUAGUUAUAUCUAGGGUACUCUGAGUCUAUUAUUUAUUCUAUUUUUAUUUAUUUUAUUAUUUGAUAAAAAGAAACUCUAUUUUACUCUUACAUUGAAUAAAUAACCAAUUAAAACAUCCGUUUAUUUUCUAAAGCAUCAUUUUGCUCUAUUUAUUUUCUAAUACUAUGAAACUCUUAUUUUAAUUAACAAAAGCUAUUUUCUCUCAUUUAUUUAAUUUCUAAAAAAUAUAUUAAUUUUUAAAUAAAAACUCUAUUUAUUGUACGAAAAAGCGGGGUGUUAGAGUGAGGAGAAUUCAAUCUCUUAUGAGGAGAACCUGACUUAUGUUUCGAAUCAUAUCCAUCUUGAUGUAUUGUCUGCAUAUAGUUUUCUACCUCUCUUUCUGGAGUCCUAUACCUGUAUCUCGAGGAGCAUUCCCUUGAGCGCCCUCUUAUUUGAUGUCGGUUGGGACUUCUAGACCUUUCUAUUUGCUUGUCACUAUUUAAUCGAUCAUAUCGAGGCUUGUAAUUACCUUCUCGGUCUCGCGCAUAUUUGUCUAGUUUGCCCCAACGUGUGAGGAUUCCAAUGGCAUUUUUCAAUUGAAAAUAGUUGACAGUGUCAUGCCCUAUUGCGUGGAGAUAGCGACAAUAUUUUGAUUGAUCUCUUCCGUCAUUCCUAGUUCUUAAUGGCUUAGGCACAUCAAGACCGACAUCUUUUAACUCAACAUUCAUGAUUUCAUACAAUAUUGUCCCUUGUGAAGCAUUUAAGGGCAUAUAAUAGUCGUCCCUUUUUGUUGUAAUUUUACAAGUCAUUCUUUCAAGCGACUGAGGUUGCUUGUCACCUUUUGUCUGUGUUGUUGUCUUUUGUGUAUUUUUCUUUUCGGAUGACUUUAACUUUCCAGCUUCUAAGAUAUUUUCAUAAUUGAUGUAUUUUUUUUCCUUUUACAGAAAUUCCUCCAGGGUUACUAGUGGAGUUUUUGAGAUAGAUAUGAAGAAAUGAGAUCAUUCCCUUACACUGUCCUUUGCCAGCAUCAACUCUACCUCAGACUAUCGAUUAUUCAUGACUCUUGCCUCCUUUUUGAAUCGCGAAAUUUACUCUCUUAAUGGCUCCUCAAGUCCUUGCCGGAUUAGCUUUAAGCCAACCUUCAUUUUUGGCCUUUCUUUGUUGGUUGCAAAGGCGAAUCUAAAUUUUUCUCUUAAAUCAAUCACAAGUCAAUGGAUCUCGGCGACAAAGAUUGAAACAAACUUCAACAGAGUGGACUUUAAUAAUAGUGGAAAUGCGUGACACAUUAUCAAGGCUAAAGCUUCUUUGUAUGACAACGUCGAUUCAAACACCAACAAAUGAUCAUACAUAUCAGAUGAUAUGUCAUACAACCAAUUGCUAGAAGUUAUCUCAACUGCUUUGGGACUUGGAGCUCUACCAAGCAUUUUGAAAAUGUCAUGUUGAAAGUCAUCAGAAUCCACCCCUUCUUCCAUCUUUGUGGUAAUACUAAUCCUAUUUUUCUGGAUUUCGAUGGAAUUUGCAACUUUGAUUUGCUUAACUUAUUUUUGCUUCAUCUUUCCUUUGCCUUCAAAUCUCCUUCAUCUUAUAUUGCUUUCGAGUGCUUGUUUUGUGCAUCAUCCUUUUCUGUUUGUAGAUUCCUGAUCGAUUUUUGUUGUUCUUCAAGCACUACUUUCUAUUGUUUAAGCAUCUCUACGAGCUCAGUUAGUUGAGCACUUGUGAACGUUGCAUUCUCUUCCAUCCUUGGAGAAGUUAUGGCAUAGGUGGAGUGUAUAAUUGCUACUGAAGCUUUUUUGUUUCGCAUGCUCACCAUAACAAAAAAUCCACGAACGAUGGAUCCUUUAAUCUUAGAGAAUCAAUGUCCCCACAGAGUUUGCCAUUGUUAUGGUGUGGGACAUGGAACGUGAUAUGGCUCAUGCAGCAUUGGACAAAUUGAAUGAGAAAGAAAGAAUGCAAAAGAGAAAUCAGAGUGGGUGUGAGAAUACGUAUAGUAUUGAAAUUGUGUUGUUUUGUCAAAUGCGAUUACAUGCGUAUAUGGUGUUACCAUCCAUGGGGCUAAUAUAAGUAUUUGUGUUAAAUAUCCUAUUCUGAGGGUUACAUCAUAUGUGCCUAGAAUUGGCUUUCCACUAGGGCAUCUCUUAUUUAAGUUGGCUUCUUGAUCCUAUAACCGGCUUGUAAUCCUCAAGUCGAUCUUCAUGUGUCUAUGUUUUGUGUCACGUGUCCAUGAUGAGUAAAAUUGAUAUUUAUCUUAGAACAGUUGCCUCCCAAGUUGAUAUUAUCUUGGAGAGGUAAUGUCGACUUAACAAGUGUGUAAGUGGAUAUUUAACCCAAAACAAUUAUUAACUCAAACACAUAUUUUUUCUUUAUUAGUGUUUUUUAAUUUUAAUUUUUUUCUCUCAUAUACACAAAGGUUUGCCCUCCACGUAUCUGUCCUUGGUUGGCAUUGCUUGUGAGUUCGGUCAUGUUUUUUUCUUAAUAAUAAUUCUUUGUGGUCCAAAAAAAAUAUUGAUAAUGACUUUUAAGUUAUAUAGCUUACCAUCUUUCAUAUUUUGAGUGAUACAAUUUUGCCGUGUUAACAGUUAUAGGAAAAGCAAUUUAAAAUAUGGAGAAAACGAAAAAACACACAUUUUACUCCAACUGUUGGAGAGGAAAAAGUUUUGCAUGAGGAAAGCAUUAAUGUAAUGCAAAUGCUUAGCAAUGCACAUCUCCCGUUGUUGGGGUUUGUAACGGGCUUUGCUAAGUUGCUCACAAACUCUUUAAGAUCUCAACUGUUGAUUUCACAUUUGAGACUUCUAGAAAUACCUGCAUUAUAUUACAGUAAUGUUUUGCGUCUUGUGCAGAACUUUCUCCUCUCCGAAUGUUGGAAUAAAAUGGCCUUGGUUUUUUUUUUCUUCAUUUUCUCCGUAUUUUAAAUUGUUUUCCCUAUAAUUAUUAACAUUGCAGAGUUGUAUUAUUCAAAAUAUGAAAGAGGUAAGUUAUACAAAUUAAAAGUGUUGUUAUCCAUAUUCUUUUUGGACGACAAAUAAUUAAUUAUUAUUAAGAAAUAAGCAUGAUCGAACUCACAAGCAGUGCAAAUGAACAUGAACCUGCAUUAUAGACCUCUACAAUUAAGCCAAACCAUUCAAUAUCGCAUAAAGCACAAUAUACCUAAAUAAAAACUAUCAUGUUCAACAAAGAAAACAAAAGCACAAAUGAACACACGAUAUACACAAUAAUUCUCUACCACCCAUAAAUCUCGUGAGAAAUCAAAAACCACGCAUUGAUUAAAACCAAAAGUCAUUAUCAAUAUAAUAACUGAGAAUACUUACCUUGAAGAGAUUUCGAUUGAUUGUGGUGAAAGUUUCUUGUGUUCACGCUUGUUGGAUGAUCUUUCAAAAUCUGUCAUAUAUAACAUCAACUACAGUGUGGAUUAUGUUUACCUAUACUGAUAUUAGUUGUCAAAUCUUCCUUAUGUAUAGUG